CAACGAAAAGAAUGGGAAAGAGUUUAUGAUUAUGAUGUCUACAAUGAUCUUGGUGAUCCAGAUGAAGAUGUCAAGCUUGCUCGUCCGGUCCUUGGAGGGUCUAGCACUCAUCCUUACCCUCGAAGGGUUAGAAGUGGUCGAAAACCAACUAAAAAGGGUAAAAAAAAAUAUUAAUUUUCAUAUACUUUAAAGACUAAAUAUGAGAGACAAUAAUGCGGUUCUAAUGAUAUUUUAUUGUUGACAGAUCCUAAAAGUGAGAGACCAGGUGUGAUGUAUGUUCCAAGAGAUGAAAAUUUUGGACACUUGAAGUCAUCUGACUUCCUUACAUAUGGAAUAAAAUCAUUGUCUCAAGAUGUGUUACCUUUGUUUAAAUCUGUAAUCUUUGAUUUGAAUUUCACUCCAAAUGAGUUUGAUAGCUUCGAUGAAGUGCGUGACUUAUUUGAAGGUGGAAUUGAACUUCCUACACAUAUAUUGAGCAAAAUCAGUC
rnacentral:lncRNA from 1 species